rnacentral:rRNA from 1 species
AGCGAACGCUGGCGGCAGGCCUAACACAUGCAAGUCGAGCGCCGUAGCAAUACGGAGCGGCAGACGGGAGAGUAACACGUGGGAACGUACCCUUUGGUUCGGAACAACCCAGGGAAACUUGGGCUAAUACCGGAUAAGCCCUUACGGGGAAAGAUUUAUCGCCGAAGGAUCGGCCCGCGUCUGAUUAGCUAGUUGGUGGGGUAACGGCCCACCAAGGCGACGAUCAGUAGCUGGUCUGAGAGGAUGAUCAGCCUCACUGGGACUGAGACACGGCCCAGACUCCUACGGGAGGCAGCAGUGGGGAAUAUUGGACAAUGGGCGCAAGCCUGAUCCAGCCAUGCCGCGUGGGUGAUGAAGGCCCUAGGGUUGUAAAGCCCUUUCGGCGGGGAAGAUAAUGUCGGUACCCGCAGAAGAAGCCCCGGCUAACUUCGUGCCAGCAGCCGCGGUAAAAC